ACCCCAGUCCGCACGCUGAAAGUCGCCUUUCUUUUCCUUUUUUCCCCGCUGUGCCUGAAUCUCCCGGGACACUUAGACGGCUGGAGCCUCCCGACUCCAAGGCGGGCGACGGCAAAGUUAAACGCCAGCGCGCUGCGGUCCCCGGGCACCGAGGCGUCCCCGCUCCCGCCACCCACACAGGGCGCCAAGUGCCCCGACCCGCGAGUGACGAGGACGCACAGCCUGGAAGCCUCGCGGCCCUCCAGAUGGACUCGGAGCGCCCCUGGAGGCUACAGUGACCUAAGCUCUAGGAAGGCCGGGUCCUGGACGCCGCGUGCUGCUGUCCGCCGCCGACCGGUGUCCUCGCAGAGAUAACCUGGCUGAACUCACCGCCCAGCGCUAUGUCAGUUCUCCCUCAUGACAACCCAAAACUUGACCGGAUUUGUGUUCUGCAGAGAGGAAAAAAAAAAGCGGCCACCGAACACCAGUGCAGUAGCCAGGAUGGGCCUGUGGCUCUGGCUGCAGCCUCCAGGGACACCAGCUGGAGAGAAGGAAGCCACGCAUGGAGAGCGGCCAGG
rnacentral:lncRNA from 1 species